rnacentral:tRNA from 1 species
UGGGAUAUGGCCAAGUUGGUUAAGGCACAAGACUUUGACUCUUGCAUUUCGCUGGUUCGAGUCCAGCUAUCCCAGCCA